AUACGGAGGGUGCGAGCGUUAAUCGGAAUUACUGGGCGUAAAGCGUACGUAGGCGGCUACUUAAGUCGGGUGUGAAAGCCCGGGGCUCAACCCCGGAACGGCCCUCGAAACUGGCAGGCUUGAGACCGGGAGAGGAGAGUGGAAUUUCCGGUGUAGAGGUGAAAUUCGUAGAUCUUGGGAAGAACACCGGCGGCGAAGGCGGCUCUCUGGUCCGGUUCUGACGCUGAGGCGCGAAAGCGUGGGGAGCAAACAGGAUUAGAAACCCCAGUAGUCC
rnacentral:rRNA from 1 species